UACGGAGGGUGCGAGCGUUAAUCGGAAUUACUGGGCGUAAAGCGCACGCAGGCGGUUUGUUAAGCUAGAUGUGAAAGCCCCGGGCUCAACCUGGGAUGGUCAUUUAGAACUGGCAGACUAGAGUCCUGGAGAGGGGAGUGGAAUUCCAGGUGUAGCGGUGAAAUGCGUAGAUAUCUGGAGGAACAUCAGUGGCGAAGGCGACUCCCUGGCCAAAGACUGACGCUCAUGUGCGAAAGUGUGGGUAGCGAACAGG
rnacentral:rRNA from 1 species